UGGUCAUGUGCAUCUUACUGGUCCAUUUUUUGGAUCAGAGGCUACUAACUUUUCUCAUCGAAUCAAUCAAUUUUCAUUUGGUGUUCCGACAAAAGGGAUAAUAUAUCCAUUAGAAGGAGAACUGUAUGAAACAAAUGAAAAUGCUGUAUCCUAUAAAUAUUUUAUAGAUGUGGUAGCUACAGAUGUUAAAUCACGUUCAAAUGAAAUAAAAACUUAUCAAUAUUCAGCAAAAGAUAUACAAA